rnacentral:rRNA from 1 species
UGGGGAAUAUUGGACAAUGGGGGGAACCCUGAUCCAGCCAUGCCGCGUGUGUGAAGAAGGCCUUAUGGUUGUAAAGCACUUUAAGCGAGGAGGAGGCUCUCUUGGUUAAUACCCAAGAAGAGUGGACGUUACUCGCAGAAUAAGCACCGGCUAACUCUGUGCCAGCAGCCGCGGUAAUACAGAGGGUGCGAGCGUUAAUCGGAUUUACUGGGCGUAAAGCGUGCGUAGGCGGCUUUUUAAGUCGGAUGUGAAAUCCCCGAGCUUAACUUGGGAAUUGCAUUCGAUACUGAGAAGCUAGAGUAUGGGAGAGGAUGGUAGAAUUCCAGGUGUAGCGGUGAAAUGCGUAGAGAUCUGGAGGAAUACCGAUGGCGAAGGCAGCCAUCUGGCCUAAUGCUGACGCUGAGGUACGAAAGCAUGGGGAGCAAACAGG